AAGGUAUAACUCUCAAUUACUGGAUCAUAACCUAAAACAUUUUCCACCCCUCACACUUUGCAAGUCCUAGAAAAUCACCACUUGGUAUACAUCAUACUAGAAUCAUUCCAAGUUAUUUUUUCUAAACUGUUUUUCAAAAUCAACGAGAUAAAUACUUUGUAUACAUUCAUACGAGAAUCAUUACAAAGUUAAACUCUCUUUCGAAACAUUUUUAAACAAUUCACCAACACUUU
rnacentral:lncRNA from 1 species